UGUCGAUUCUUCUGCUCCUUGGAUGCUGCCUGACCUGCUGCGCUUUUCCAGCAACACAUUUUCAGCUCGUCUCUCUGCGGGACGACAUCUACAAACAGACUCAUUUCUGGAGUUACUACGCCAUUGGAUUACUUUUUGUCUGGGGCCAUCCAUCUCAAUCGUCUGUCUCCACCCUCUGCACUAACUCCUGGAAGUUAUUCAGAACGUAGAAGCAUGUAUGUUUCACUUGGCUGAAAACCCAAAUGGACGAAUGUUGAACCUGUCUUUUAAAUAGUGAAGCAUGAUUUUCCAAAUCUGUGAUCUACUUUCAACCCUGAUGAAUUGGGAAUGGCGGAACGUGGGUUAUGUGAAUUCACCACGUAAAAACUCCAACUUCAAACCGUGAGCAGCCUCAAGGUACUUCAUUACACACAUCUCCAAUUCUAAAAUAGAGUUGCAUUUAUGUAGCACAUUUCGUUUUCUUGAAUUGUUCGCACACAAAUCACAGUCUGUCUAUACGUUGGAGGCACAGAAGAUAAACAUGCCAGCCAGUUUACACACAACAAUGCCCCACACACAUCACAAGAUAAAUGACCUUGUUGUGGUUGUUUUAAACUGUCAAUUUGAGUCUUAGGUUCAGUAAGCAGAGAUUUAUUCAAGCAUAUGCUGAGGACAAGCUUCACCAAGUUAUCCAGGAUAGCUCCUCCCAAAACACAAAGGUUUCAACACUGUUUAUAUUUCUCAACUUAAUGUAGCCCCCCACCCCCCAACACCAUACCUUGGGUCUGCUGGUUUCUAUAGCAACUGAACCUUCAGUUUUUCCUAGUCUUCAUGGCCUGUGCAGCAAUGGAUAAUUUUUACGACUUACAAUCUCAGCUAGAUUCCCACAGGAAUGGAAACAUAUCCCAUUUUUCCUAUACUAUUGGCUACAGUCUUUAUACAUUUUGGAAAAGGUUAACAGCUACAUUUAUCUAUUCUAAGCUAAUAGUGUGCAUUUAAACAUUAAUCACAAUCAAUUGUCUCACUUAACUUCUUCACUUGUAUUUUUGUUGGUGAGGUUAGCCAUUGACCAGGACAACUGGGGAAUCCUGUUUUGACUUCUUCAAAUGGUGCCCAGCUUUUUAAGAUCCACCUGAAUGGGCUGAUCUCAGGACAUGAAUGUAAUAUUUAGAUGGCAUUUCUGGCUGUAUUAAAUGGAAUUGUCAGCGUAUGUGUUUAAGUCUUGUAUCCACAGCUUUCUGAUGCAGAGGCCAGAAUGCUGCCGAACCAGUGCAGAACAUGCAGGGACCUAUCAUAUCUGCAGAACAGGUAAAAGUGAUGGCACCUAUUAUAGUAUUGCUCAGCACUGCUGCACAGCACCGCUUCUGUGCUCACCACCACUCAACACCUAAAGUGCAUGGAUGUAAAGUUCUGACCAGAGGGUGCAGCCCAAAUCCUCACCAAAAUAAAGAUACGAAGUUCUCUGAAAACAAAUUUAAAGGACACGUGAACCCAUAACUUGGGGAAGAAGCAGGAACCGGAGGUGGAUCUGCAGCUAUGGCCAACUUGGCCAUGAUAGAAAAGGAAGCCAUUAGAGGGACCUGGUGAUACCAUUAGAUGCAGCACUGCCACUUGGUGUCACUCAUGUUGAAUUGAUCUCACCAAGACAUUAAAUGUUGUGAUGUAAAUUGGCUAAUGGCAUAUAAUGUGGACAAACGUGAACAUUUUCCAUUUUUUAAAUUAGAUUAGAUUACCUACAGUGUGGAAACAGGCCUUUGGCCCAACAAGUCCACAC